rnacentral:rRNA from 1 species
CGCAAGCCUGAUGCAGCCAUGCCGCGUGUAUGAAGUAAGGCCUUCGGGUUGUAAAGUACUUUCAGCAGUGAGGAAGGCAGGUACGUUAAUAGCGUGCUUGUUUGACGUUAGCUGCAGAAGAAGCACCGGCUAACUCCGUGCCAGCAGCCGCGGUAAUACGGAGGGUGCGAGCGUUAAUCGGAAUUACUGGGCGUAAAGCGCAUGCAGGUGGUUUGUUAAGUCAGAUGUGAAAGCCCGGGGCUCAACCUCGGAAUUGCAUUUGAAACUGGCAGACUAGAGUACUGUAGAGGGGGUAGAAUUUCAGGUGUAGCGGUGAAAUGCGUAGAGAUCUGAAGGAAUACCGGUGGCGAAGGCGGCCCCCUGGACAGAUACUGACACUCAGAUGCGAAAGCGUGGGGAGCAAACAGGAUUAGAUACCCUGGUAG